rnacentral:rRNA from 1 species
ACGCACGCUGGCGGCGUGCCUAAUACAUGCCAGUCGAACGAACCGCGACUAGGUGCUUGCACUUGGUCAAGGUGAGUGGCGAACGGGUGAGUAACACGUGGGUAACCUACCUCAUAGUGGGGGAUAACAGUCGGAAACGACUGCUAAUACCGCAUAGGACAUAGGAUCACAUGAUCCAGUGAGGAAAGGUGGCGCAAGCUAUCGCUAAGAGAUGGACCCGCGGUGCAUUAGCUAGUUGGUAGGGUAAAGGCCUACCAAGGCGAUGAUGCAUAGCCGACCUGAGAGGGUGAUCGGCCACAUUGGGACUGAGACACGGCCCAAACUCCUACGGGAGGCAGCAGUAGGGAAUCUUCCGCAAUGGACGCAAGUCUGACGGAGCAACGCCGCGUGAGUGAAGAAGGUCUUCGGAUCGUAAAGCUCUGUUGUUAGAGAAGAACAGCGCAUAGAGUAACUGUUAUGCGUGUGACGGUAUCUAACCAGAAAGCCACGGCUAACUACGUG